rnacentral:rRNA from 1 species
UACAGAGGGGGCAAGCGUUGUUCGGAAUUACUGGGCGUAAAGGGCGCGUAGGCGGCCUGUUAAGUCGAACGUGAAAUCCCCGGGCUCAACCCGGGAACUGCGUCCGAUACUGGCAGGCUUGAAUCCGGGAGAGGGAUGCGGAGUUCCAGGUGUAGCGGUGAAAUGCGUAGAUAUCUGGAGGAACACCGGUGGCGAAGGCGGCAUCCUGGACCGGUAUUGACGCUGAGGCGCGAAAGCCAGGGGAGCAAACGGG